rnacentral:rRNA from 1 species
GGAGGAAAGUAGGGGAUCGAAAGACCUUAUGCUUUUGGAGCGGCCGAUGUCUGAUUAGCUAGUUGGUGAGGUAAAGGCUUACCAAGGCGACGAUCAGUAGUUGGUCUGAGAGGACGACCAGCCACACUGGGACUGAGACACGGCCCAGACUCCUACGGGAGGCAGCAGUGGGGAAUUUUGGACAAUGGGCGCAAGCCUGAUCCAGCAAUGCCGUGUGAGUGGAGAAGGCCUUCGGGUUGUAAAGCUCUUUCAGUCGAGAAGAAAAGGUUGUGAUUAAUACUCACAAUCCAUGACGGUAUCGACAGAAGAAGCACCGGCUAACUACGUGCCAGCAGCCGCGGUAAUACGUAGGGUGCGAGCGUUAAUCGGAAUUACUGGGCGUAAAGGGUGCGCAGGCGGCUCUGUAAGUCAGAUGUGAAAUCCCCGGGCUUAACCUGGGAAUUGCGUUUGAAACUACAAAGCUAG